GGGAGUGUCUGACAAGCCUUCCACAAGGCCUGCAAAAUGCACUAAUGGCAUCGGACAGCUGAAUGCGGCCGUUCGGCUUCGCCGUGUCCUGUUUGUGUCACUCAGGAUCCGCUCCUGCUAUGAGACACGACAGCCUUUGUGCGGGAACAAAGCAAGAGAGCCGAUCGUGAGUCUGAACCCGGAGCUGCCGGUGAGCUCGAACCCUGGUUCCUCCACACCUGAGGACUCUCGUGUUUCCCCAUCAAAGUCUCAGACACUAUGGGCUGUUCUUCAUCCAGCAGCCAGAACAUCUCCCAGGAGGGAAACAGACCCGGGACCAAACCGGGGGACGCCAAUGGGGAGACCACACUCGUGGCUUGCAAUCAGAAUGGCACCUUUUUUGAGGAGAGCAUGACCAUCGCAGAGCAGGUCCAGAGCAUCCUACCCCAUGAUCCGGUGAUCUGCCAGGAGUCUCCAGCACCGGCCACUGAAGCUUUAGAAUGUCUUACAGCUGCCGAGGAGGCUGUGGCGGAUGCUGAGUCGGAGCUCUUGGUCGUGAGCAGCUCUCCUGUGGCCCAGCAGGGUCCUGAACCUGAGUUGAGAGUGACCGCGCAGCCUGAGCCGAGCGUUGACCUUGAGCCGACAAGUGAAUCUGAACCGGAGCCGGCACCCGUGUGCGAGCCCGCACCCGCACCUGUACGGGCUGCAGCGUCUGAGCCGGAGCCAUCAUGUGACGUGAGCAUCGUUGUCGCACCUGGGCCAGCCUCUGCACCUGCUCCGUCACCUGCACCUGAACCAGCAGCUGCUGAAGCCGAGCCCAAAGCAUCCGUUGAGUCCGCAUUCACCCCUGAGGUCACCGCUGCUCCGGAGGAAGCCGCUGUCCAGGAGCUGAUCCUCAGCACGGAAGAAGAGGUGGUCUCUCAAGUAGAGGAAUCUGCAGAAACACCUGUUCUGGAACUGGUGACUUCCUCUGAUGAGGAAAAGGAUGCAGAAGAGACCUCCGACAGACCAGACCUGGCCCAGGCUGAAGAACCUGCUACAGAGGGAGUCAUAAAGGAAGUCAGACCACUGGCGGAGGAAGCAGCAGUUGUCUGCAGCGUAACAGCCGACGGCACAGAAGCUCCAUCCACUCAGGUCUCAGAGCCGGAACCGAAUGUGAGCGUGACCUCUGACCCCGCUGGCACUGAGAACGUGAAGGCACCUGCCAUCUCCCCCGAAUUGUUCCAGGACCCCCAGAGUCCUGCACCAGGGGCCAAAGUUGAAGGUGAUACGGGCGAGAAGCUGGAGGGGGAGGACCCCCAGGAUGAGGGAGGUGAGGAGGCCAAGACAGAAACCCAUGCUGAGCCCAGCAAGACUGAGGAGGCACUUGCCUUGUCAGCCCAAACCAGAGCUUGA
rnacentral:lncRNA from 1 species